ensembl:lncRNA
CAGCAGAUCCCCGGCAUUCACUAAGUUGAAAAAAGCCGUUUCAGCUGUUUGUGAGCAACCUGAAAUCAAUGGUAUGCAGUCAAUAUUUUGGAAUUUUGCUGAGGCCCAUGUUUGAAGAAUGCAGAGGCUGUGAAGUUAGCGUGAAGGAAGGAGACCCCUAUCUCCUGGGGAGCCUACAGCAGGAAUUCUCAGGAAAAACAGCUGAGUUCAAGGUGACAGACCUGCAGUCUUCCCUGCUAAAGUCCUUGAAAAUGACAAAGGAAAAGGACUGUAGCUUCUUGUCACUCAAAGCAUGAUCCAGAUCCCACAGCACGGACGUCACCUUUGAACUUGGUAGAAAUGCAGAAGCUCAGACUCCUGUCCAGACGUAUGACUCAGAACCUGCAUUUUUAACUAGAUCCCAGGUAAGUCAUGGGCAAGUUUAAGGUUGAGAAGCUCUGCUCUAGCACACUGAUUCUUAACCCCUUGGAAUCACUUUUGAAAUAUACUGAUGCCUAGACCCCUGCCCCCUGCCCCCCCAAUUCCGUUUUAAUUGGCUGGAGUACGUUUAAAGCUCCCGAGGUGACACGAUGUGCAGUCAAGGUUGAGAACCAGCCAUCCAGCGUUUGGUCCCUGGGGAGUUAGGCUGCAGGGGUGGAUCGGAGCUAAGCUUCUUCAGCAACUGCCAGGGAGAGUUCUGGUUUGUUUUCUUUCUCUUCAGGCCCAGUGGAAGUACGAAGGGACACGAAGGGGCACAUUCUUCUCUCCCGCCCCCGCCAUUCCCCAGUCCUCAUUCCAGCCAGCAGGACACGUGACAAGGCUCUGUGCAGGCUUCUUGGCCAUGGUUUCUGUUUCUCUUUGUCACAGAUGAGAAAAUUGAGGCAUAGAGACGUUCAACAAUCUUCCCAAGGUCACACAGUCCGUAAGAGGAGCCGGCAUUUGAACCCAGACAAUCGAAAUCCAGAGUUCAAGCUCAUAACCAUUACACUCUUCUUAUAAAUAUGGAAAGCCAAAAAAAAAGUUUCAGAAAAAUUAUGUUUUAAAUUUUUAUUUAUUAUUUUUUAUUGAGGCGUAUCAGAAAAAUUAUUUAAAACAUUUCUAUGCAUGAAGGUCUUCAAAGUUAUUCCCGCCUGAAGUAAUCCUUUAACAUCUGGACAAAUAUCCAAGAGACAGUUGAACAUCCCAGAGGUGCUCAGUAGUUCUUUGGGCCAGGCAAUUUUUUUAGUGCAGGCUCACAGGGAGAGAAGGCUUUUGCUGAAAGCUACGGACAGAUUAUGGAUUGGCCUGGGUGUGAGUGCAGAGGCGCAAGAGGACCUGGUCUGAAAACUCUUCUCCUGUGAGAAGAGAGUCAGUGGGAGAGAAAGCGGACCAGAGGCAAUCAACCAGAGAGAGAGCAGUGAACAACAAUGGGCCAUGUAUCACACAGAAAGAUGCUGCUAAAGACAGCCUUCCCCUGGAAUCAGCAUUCAGCAAAAACUUUAAUUAGCUCAAGGCACUCCCACCCGGUAGUAUGUUCCAGAAUCUUGGUGCGAGGACAUUUGUAAUUUGCAAAAGUAAGUUCAAUAUUACAAGAUAAUUUUAUUUUUGGAAGGCAAACAAACAAAAGGAACCUCUAUUGUUUUAUACCAUAAACUAAAGGAAAUAAAGUUAGAUAAAAUCUUCCUGGCUGUGGGAUGUACAAAUGUUCUG